CCCUCUGAAUGGCAAUGGUCAGCGCUGUGCUUGCAAGGUUUGCCACAUCUGCCAGGACGAUCACCACCGUAUAACAAACCACCUUGUGUGCUGUUCGGAUGCUGACACACAGUUUACAAUGUAUACCACACUCAUGAUCUCAAAGAAUGCUAUGAUGAGCAGAGGCAUGGAUCCCACAUAGCUGUUGAAUAUCUCUAGCCAGUAGUUUCCAGAGCCCAGAGUAAAGAUGAGGGCCACAGUAAAGGAGGCAUCCAGGGUGGAACCAUGUGCAGAUCCAGUAGAGGAGUGAGGACCCCCUCUAGAUUUCCAAACAUGGAGGACAGGCCCA